CUCCCCCUCCCUAUCCCCGCCUCCUUCUCCGCCCUCUCGAACACCCCCUUCCAUAUCCUCGCCUCCCUGCAUUAAAAAAAAAAGUUACAUACAUCGAUCAGUUCAACCCAAAAACGUAUGUUGGUGAUAAAAAUCAGUGCGCCAUGGAUGGAUGUGUUUGUGCGUGCUUACCUAGAGUGCUCCAUCUUGGGGAGGUAGAAGAAGGGGCCGAAGUCGGCGCCCUGGCCGGAGCGGAAGGCGGCGUGGCUGUGGAAGAAGUAGAGGCCGAAGUCGACGAGGCAGCCGAUGGCCGGCUCGCCGUCGACGA